rnacentral:rRNA from 1 species
UGGGGAAUAUUGGACAAUGGACCAAGAGUCUGAUCCAGCAAUUCUGUGUGCACGAUGAAGUUUUUCGGAAUGUAAAGUGCUUUCAGUUGGGAAGAAAGAAAUGACGGUACCAACAGAAGAAGUGACGGCUAAAUACGUGCCAGCAGCCGCGGUAAUACGUAUGUCACGAGCGUUAUCCGGAUUUAUUGGGCGUAAAGCGCGUCUAGGUGGUUAUGUAAGUCUGAUGUGAAAAUGCAGGGCUCAACUCUGGAUUGCGUUGGAAACUGUAUAACUAGAGUACUGGAGAGGUAAGCGGAACUACAAGUGUAGAGGUGAAAUUCGUAGAUAUUUGUAGGAAUGCCGAUGGGGAAGCCAGCUUACUGGACAGAUACUGACGCUGAAGCGCGAAAGCGUGGGUAGCAAACAGGAUUAGAUACCCUGGUAGUCCACGCCGUAAACGAUGAUUACUAGGUGUUGGGGGUCGAACCUCAGCGCCCAAGCAAACGCGAUAAGUAAUCCGCCUGGGGAGUACGUACGCAAGUAUG